rnacentral:rRNA from 1 species
CACGUGGGCAACCUGCCCUCAGCUCUGGGAUAACUCCAAGAAAUUGGUGCUAAUACCGGAUGUGACCGCUGACCGCAUGGUCUGGUGGUGGAAAGAUUCAUCGGCUGAGGAUGGGCCCGCGGCCUAUCAGCUUGUUGGUGGGGUGAUGGCCUACCAAGGCGACGACGGGUAGCCGGCCUGAGAGGGUGACCGGCCACACUGGGACUGAGACACGGCCCAGACUCCUACGGGAGGCAGCAGUGGGGAAUAUUGCGCAAUGGGCGGAAGCCUGACGCAGCGACGCCGCGUGAGGGAUGACGGCCUUCGGGUUGUAAACCUCUUUCAGUAGGGACGAAGCGGAAGUGACGGUACCUACAGAAGAAGCACCGGCCAACUACGUGCCAGCAGCCGCGGUAAUACGUAGGGUGCAAGCGUUGUCCGGAAUUAUUGGGCGUAAAGAGCUCGUAGGCGGUCUGUCGCGUCGGCUGUGAAAACCCGAGGCUCAACCUCGGGCCUGCAGUCGAUACGGGCAAACUAGAGUGUUGCAGGGGAGACUGGAAUUCCUGGUGUAGCGGUGAAAUGCGCAGAUAUCAGGAGGAACACCGGUGGCGAAGGCGGGUCUCUGGGCAACAACUGACGCUGAGGAGCGAAAGCGUGGGGAGCGAACAGGAUUAGAUACCCUGGUAGUCCACGCCGUAAACGUUGGGCGCUAGGUGUGGGGGCCAUUCCACGGUCUCCGUGCCGCAGCUAACGCAUUAAGCGCCCCGCCUGGGGAGUACGGCCGCAAGGCUAAAACUCAAAGGAAUUGACGGGGGCCCGCACAAGCGGCGGAGCAUGUUGCUUAAUUCGAUGCAACGCGAAGAACCUUACCUAGGCUUGACAUGCACGGAAAUCUGUCAGAGAUGGCAGGUCCUUUGGGGUCGUGCACAGGUGGUGCAUGGUUGUCGUCAGCUCGUGUCGUGAGAUGUUGGGUUAAGUCCCGCAACGAGCGCAACCCUCGUUCUAUGUUGCCAGCACGUGAUGGUGGGGACUCAUAGGAGACUGCCGGGGUCAACUCGGAGGAAGGUGGGGAUGACGUCAAAUCAUCAUGCCCCUUAUGUCUAGGGCUGCAAACAUGCUACAAUGGCCGGUACAAAGGGCUGCGAUACCGUGAGGUGGAGCGAAUCCCAAAAAGCCGGUCUCAGUUCGGAUUGGGGUCUGCAACUCGACCCCAUGAAGUUGGAGUCGCUAGUAAUCGCAGAUCAGCAACGCUGCGGUGAAUACGUUCCCGGGCCUUACACACCGCCCGUCACGUCACGAAAGUCGGUAACGCCCGAAGCCGGUGGCCCAACCCCUUGUGGGAGGGAGCCGUCGAAGGCGGGAUCGGCGAUUGGGACGAAGUCGUAACAAGGUA